GGGUUAAGUCCGUACGAGCGCAACCCUGUCCUUAGUUACCAGCACGUUAUGGUGGGCGACUCUAAGGAGGACUGCCGGUGACAAACCGGAGGAAGGUGGGGAUGACGUCAAGUCAUCAUGGCCCUUACGGCCUGGGCUACACACGUGCUACAAUGGUCGGUACAAAGGGUUGCCAAGCCGCGAGGUGGAGCUAAUCCCAUAAAACCGAUCGUAGUCCGGAUCGCAGUCUGCAACUCGACUGCGUGAAGUCGGAAUCGCUAGUAAUCGUGAAUCAGAAUGUCACGGUGAAUACGUUCCCGGGCCUU
rnacentral:rRNA from 1 species